AACGAACGCUGGCGGCAGGCCUAACACAUGCAAGUCGAGCGGACCCUUCGGGCUUAGCGGCGGACGGGUGAGUAACGCGUGGUAAGAUGCGCUUCUCUACGGAAUAGUCCUGGGAAACGGGGGGUAAUACCGUAUACGCCCUCGGUGGGUAAGAUUUAAUGGUGAAGGAUUUGCCCGCGUUGUAUUAGGUAGUUGGUGGUGUAAUGGCCAACCGAGGCGCCGAUGCAUAGCUGGGUUGUGAGGAUGAUCAGGCACACUGGGACUGACACACGGCCGGGAUUCGUACGGGAGGCAGCAGGGGGGACUCUUAGACGAUGGGGGCAACCAUGAUCUAGCCAUGCCGUGUGAGUGUUGAAGGCCUUAGGGUUGUAAAGCUCUUUCAGCUGGGAAGAUAAUGACGGUACCAUAAGAAGAAGCCCCGGCUAACUACGUG
rnacentral:rRNA from 1 species